rnacentral:sRNA from 1 species
CACAGGUUUUCCUCAGGAGACCUUAACGCAGCUUGUAGACAUUCAUUUAGAUCGAGGUCUACAGCUGGUAAUCAAGCA